UACGGCUACAUUAGGUUGAAACACCGAUUCCCGUGCGAUCACAGAAGUUAAGCAACGUCAAGCUUAGUCAAUACCUACAAGGGUGACCGCUUCGGAAUAUCAUGUGUUGUAAG